rnacentral:lncRNA from 1 species
GGCUCUAUCACACCUCGCCGCUUCUGCUUCUCGCUCAUCCAGUCUUCUUAAACCCCUCUCGUCGGCUCUUUCCCUCCGACGCUCGAUCUCCGGCGAUAACUCUCCCUUGACCGUCGAGACCUCCGUUCCUUUCACCUCUCACCAGUGCGAAGCUCCCUCACGUUCCGUCGAGACCAAUCCGAAGGAGCUCCUUACCUUUUUCCGAGACAUGGCGCUGAUGCGUCGGAUGGAGAUCGCUGCCGAUUCACUCUACAAGGCUAAGCUUAUCCGUGGUUUCUGUCAUCUAUACGACGGGCAAGAAGCCGUCGCCGUUGGCAUGGAA